UGUCAGCAAAGCAGCAUCAGAGUCCAAGCCAGGAAGCCUGAAGUUCAAGGCAGGGCUUCUGUCCAAGCAGGGACGUGUGAGCGAAUGGUAGAAGUGGGCUGAAGGGAUGACCGAAUCUCAGACAAAAGUGACAUGCCACACAUCAACUGUUCCUCUCCAAUGCCUUGGAAGCCCAAAGGUCUACCUGUCUCCUGGUCCAGAGCCAUGGUAUUAAAAGCCAGCUGCGUUUAAGAAUGAAGAAGCAGCUCUUCUGAUCCAAAAUCACAUAGAAUGUCUCGUGGAGGACUUUUUUUUUUUCUGAGAUAUGACUCAGAGGGAUUCUCAGUAAACUACAAACUUUUCUAGGUUGUUUUAUAAUAAAGAUAGAAAAUCAUUAGUCAGC